UUCAGAGAAGGCAGGAUUAUCUAUCACCAAGAGCUGAAGAUUCAAGAGUGUAAAAGAAUGUGCGUGGAGUCCCUAAGGAUUGAGCAGAAGGAUUCCAGCCCUCUAAAAAUGGAUUGCCCAGGCACCCUCUCUUCUGGCUUUCUGCUCCAAGACUACAACCAGAGACUGCAGUUGUGCGGAGAGGCUUCGCAACUGUAAGGUAAUGCCUCUCCCCGACUAGGCGGUAAGCUCCCGAAGAACAGGAAUCAUGCCUACUGAUUCUAUUCGAGUGUUCGUCGAGCAUCUUUUGUGUACACAGCAGUGUACUGUACGCUUGGGAAAGUACAACAGAGUGAACGGCCACAAUCUCUGCCUUCAAGGAGCUUACACUUUAGCAAGGGAAACAGACACUAAGUGCAAAGAGGGGGUAUCAAUAAGUUUCUAAAAGGGCCUUGGUAAAAACUAUGGAGAGAAAAACAACAACUCAGUGACACAUCGGUGGGGCUCUGACAGUUAAGGGCUCUUAGUGCUUAAUUAAUGUAUGCAUCUACUAAAGCCACCUAAAAGGCUACCUGCAGCUUUACCAACCAGUAUGUGGUAAUAAAGCUAAAUUAGAAUUGUUUCA